GCGCCGGUAGUGUAGUGGUAUCACUAUGGCUUGCCAAGCCAUAAACCCGGGUUCGAAUCCCGGCCGACGCA
rnacentral:ncRNA from 15 species